ensembl:lncRNA
UCCUUGGAGAAGGUGAACCCCCUGCGUCCCCAUGAUCCGAACUGGUGAGCACAGGCCCACAUCCUUGUAUGGGUUUCGGUGGAGGGACCCGUGUCCCUGCCGCGUGUUCCGUGUGACCAGACCCAGAGGACUCAGCUCGGGAGAGGGCAGCGCAUGGCCCACCAGGCCGGGGUCCCAUAGCAACAGCAGCCGCCGGAGCUCAUCCUGCCUCCCCCAUGUCGUCUGCCAGCUCAGGGCGGCACAUACGCCUGUGACUCUCAUCCAGGUCCCCACCCCACUGGACAUCCGGCCCGCCUAAGCCCAGCCUCUACUAUAGGAAUCCUGGGUCGGCUGACACCGUGCCCCAGGGCAGCCGCUGUGUUCCAUUUUGCAGGUUCUGUCUCAUUGUGGUAUUGAUAAUAACAAUUGCUAAGCUUCUCUGAGCAUUGACCAUGGUGCCAGGAGCUUCUCGCGCACAACUUCAUUUACUCCUCGCAGGCAUCCUCUGAGAUGAGAACUUUAUUGUUCCCCCAGGUUGUGGAGUCACCAAGGGGUGGAACUGGGAUGUGAACUCAGGAAAUUUGACCCGCAGCCUCUGCUUCGCUGUCCGCAUGGGGUUGCCCACGAUCCUCAUGCAGCCCUCUCUCCACGGCCUCUGUCCAGUCCCUUCUUUGGAGUACUCCAUUUCAGAUUCUUCUAGACCUCGUAAGUACGCAGGCCAGAGGGGUUGUCCCACUUGCCUGAGGUUACACAGAACCCUAGUGUUGGAUGAAGACACCCAGCUCCAAAGUCCUAGGAUGUAGGUGGCAUUCCUGGAAGGAGGGUGUGGCUCCCGUGAGAAGUGAUGUGUCUGAGACAGUCGUGUGUUGUCCUACACCCAGACAAAGAAGGUGAUCCCAGGAAACAGCCGGGCAUGUACAUCCCGGCCUGGAAAGGCUUGGCCAGCAGCCCUUUCCCUCACCGGCCCUGUGCUCAGCGGCAGAAAACCUUUCUAAAGAGGCCACCAGCAGGCCCAGUGAUUGGUGGCUGGGAAGCAGAUUCAGGAGGCACCCAGGGACACUGCCCAUCGGGACUCAUAGUCCUGCUGGGAGAUGGACAUGUCACAAAGGGGAAAAGGUAGAGCGGGCCCUCCCGGGCCUCCUCCUGCUGUAAUCAGAGCCCAAACCCCACAUCCAGGGGCUCCCCAGAGGGAUUGUGCGUGGCGGGAGCUCCCUCCUGGGGCCCUGGGGCCUGGCUCCUGUGAUGGUCUCCUGGCCUACAACCCGGGAGUCGGAUCACGCUGCCCACGCUCGUCGGUGCCAGGGUUGGGGGAGGGAAGGUACAGACAGGGUGGAUGGGACCCGGCAGUGCACUCAGUCAGACGGCCCGGGAAGAGCAUCGGGGUCUCGGGCAGCUCCUCCAAGGCCCCAAACUGUCUAGGUUCAUCCGAGCCUUUGGCUGUCAGGACAGGAAAAUGCAAUUUAUCAUCGGAGUGGAUAAAGAGCCACUCUUCUGAAAGGAGCCGGAGACCGGCCACCUUCCUGGUCGCUGCCACCGCCAGAGUCGGUGCUUGGUGGCAGGAGGGUGGGCACAGGCGCCAGGCUAGAGGGAGCAGCGGAAGAAGAGGGGGACUUUUCCACGGCCGGAAGGGGUGCCAAGCCUUGAAAUGACCAGAGGGACUGAAGCUAACACUGCACUUCCCAUGUGGGUGACACAGGGGCUGCAAACUCAACCCCUCAGAGGCGCCAGGAAGGAAACACCUUCUUUCCAGGCCAGGCCACAGAGAUGGAACUUUUGCUGAGACGCCUGGGCAAGAGACAGCCUCUGUCCACUGGGAUGAAAUGGGAUCAAAGGCUCUCAGGAAGCCAUUUUCCUCCCUCAUGGAGUAAGCCACAUGCACAGGAAGCCCUCACAAUGGAAGCGUAUCCAGGGGACGGAGAGAUGCAGAAUCCUAAUGACAGCACUUGAACCCCUGGAUCCAGCUAUACCUGAACCCAUGUAACACUUCUCAUUAACAUGAGCCAAUAAAUCCCCCAUUAUGCUUAAGCCCAGCUUGAACUGGGUUUCCACUACUAUUUGGUAGAACCAUGGUACCUAUAAAUGGUGCCCACCUUCUCCUCCCCACUUUCUUCUCCAAGCCCAGGGUCAGAGUAUGUCUUGUAGUGACAUUGGCACCCUCUCCACUCUAAUGUCCAAAGGAGCUUCCCUUCCUCCCACUCUCUGCCCCUUUCUUGGUGGCAGUUGCUUCCAGCCCCUCUCCCUCCUGAUCCCCCUGCCUCCUCUCCUUACCCGCUGACCAGGGGCUGGGUGGGCCUGAGGGGCUUGAAUCUGGGCUUGGGCUGGCCUCCAGUGACAUGAGGCUGUCAUCCUGGACGCCAUAAUGGUUGUUCCCAAGGAGCCAGUACGUUUUCAUCUUCCCUAUGCCCUGAGAGGGGGGACCAAGGCCACACUGACCGACUCAUUGACUGCCCAUUCCGUCAGCUUCUGGGAGGAGAAGCAUCGGACUGCUUCCUGGGGGCAAGACCACGUCUCCCACCCCCUGGGCUACCUCAUGGAUCAGAACAGGGCAGACGCUCAGGAAACAUUCAUGGAACCAAUGAAUGACCCACAGCGGCCUCUCAGAGGUCCUCACCAAGCACAGGAAGGGAUGGCAUGGAUGAUCCAGGGCCACAAAUGAUCCCAGAGUCUUCUAGAUUCGUCUGGGUAACCUGUUACUAUGUGUGCAGCCAACUGUCCAUCCCAACUGUUCUUGUCUUGUGUUAUUAAUCCAACCUAGUUUUCUGGGCUGCCCUGACUGGGUUUUGUAGGCACAUAGGCUGAGCCAACCAGGGUGAUGACAAGAGAAGGAAUCAUGGCUGAGAAAGAGAAAUGCAGCCCCCGACCUUCGGGAGCUGACUGGGCACUCACGGCUGGGCCCUGGUGCUCUCCUGUUGAACAUAAUGUCACGGAACAUCAGUGUCAGACAAGGCCACUCUGUGACCACGUGGCUCAACACCAAAAAGAUCCCCCGUAAUCAUGUCUGAACACAGACAAAGCAGGAAUAUUGUCCAAGCCGCAAAUACAAACAUCCCCUCUCCCAGCUCAUGAGUGACUGCUAUUUCUUCACCAGUUAUAGCUUUGGCCUCGCUUCGGUCUCCCUCCCUACAGAGAAAACGUGUUGAGAUACGGAAUCAUUGAAUCGUCCCUGCUAUCUGACAGCACCCAACCCAGAGCAAAGCCCCACUUCCUUAGACUUUCCCCCAAAUCACCCAAGUUAAGCCUGAGUCCUCUAAGUCUUUUCUACACUCUCCUACUGAAACGCCCCUGUCCCCAUGGGGUGCUUUCUCAUCCUCUGCAGCGAGGAGGAAACCCAGCCUGUUCAACCCGGCUGUGCCCCUGGUGGUGCCGGCUGGAGGGCGUUGAUAGAAAUGGAGGUUCCACUGGGAUCCCACGACGUACUCUGCAGGUUACAGAGGACUGUGGAACAGCAGAGCGAGGCGACAGCUUGACAACUCCCUUCUGAAAAAGAAUUAGCUCCAACCCCUGGGGUAAGAAAACCAAGGAAGAAGUCAAAGUAUGAGGGUGUACCCUUCAAAUGACCCCCAAAUGCUUCUAGAACCUUCCAGCAGAAUUCUCUAUCAAAGAUGAGGACCCCACAGUCAACGUAGGUCUUGCUUUUUGCCCACAGCAAACCCUCACCUUGACCUUGAUUUCCCCUUGAAAUGCAAUCUCACAGGCACCGUCUUUCGUGCAGGUGUGGCUUGUGGUUGAGCUGAUGCUCCACGCCAAACACGGUUCAUGAAAAAGACCACCUCAGCUGCAGUGCCAAGGAAGGCUUCCUGGAG